rnacentral:misc_RNA from 1 species
AUUGCUGGAACGCGCCCUAGGCGCACCCAGAAACCCUUUGUGAACUUAUACCUUACUGUUGCCUCGGCGCAUGCUGGCCCCCUCGGGGUCCCCUGGAGACAGGGAGCAGGCACGCCGGCGGCCAAGUUAACUCUUGUUUUUACACUGAAACUCUGAGAAAAAAAACACAAAUGAAUCAAAACUUUCAACAACGGAUCUCUUGGUUCUGGCAUCGAUGAAGAACGCAGCGAAAUGCGAUAAGUAAUGUGAAUUGCAGAAUUCAGUGAAUCAUCGAAUCUUUGAACGCACAUUGCGCCCUCUGGUAUUCCGGAGGGCAUGCCUGUUCGAGCGUCAUUUCAACCCUCAAGCAUUGCUUGGUGUUGGGGCACUGCUUUUUACCAAGCAGGCCCUGAAAUCUAGUGGCGAGCUCGCCAGGACCCCGAGCGCAGUAGUUAAACCCUCGCUCUGGAAGGCCCUGGCGGUGCCCUGCCGUUAAACCCCCAACUUCUGAAAAUUUGACCUCGGAUCAGGUAGGAAUACCCGCUGAACUUAAGCAUAUCAAUAAGCGGAGGAAAAGAAACCAACAGGGAUUGCCCUAGUAACGGCGAGUGAAGCGGCAACAGCUCAAAUUUGAAAUCUGGCCUCGGCCCGAGUUGUAAUUUGCAGAGGAUGCUUCUGGCGCGGUGCCUUCCGAGUUCCCUGGAACGGGACGCCACAGAGGGUGAGAGCCCCGUAUGGUCGGACACCAAGCCUGUGUGAAGCUCCUUCGACGAGUCGAGUAGUUUGGGAAUGCUGCUCUAAAUGGGAGGUAAAUCUCUUCUAAAGCUAAAUACCGGCCAGAGACCGAUAGCGCACAAGUAGAGUGAUCGAAAGAUGAAAAGCACCUUGAAAAGGGGGUUAAAUAGUACGUGAAAUUGUUGAAAGGGAAGCACUUGUGACCAGACUUGGGCCGGGCGGCUCAUCAGGGGUUCUCCCCUGUGCACUCCGCCCGGCACAGGCCAGCAUCGGUUCUCGUGGGGGGAUAAGACCGUCAGGAACGUAGCACCCUCCGGGGUGUGUUAUAGCCUGGCGGACGAUACCCCCGUGGGGACCGA